CUUCAGGGAUCCCAGCCACAGUGGCCUGUCCCGGGCCCGGUCCUUGCCGUAGGUCGCCAGCAGGGCGCCCGCCUC
rnacentral:antisense_RNA from 1 species